rnacentral:rRNA from 1 species
CCCUUCUUUUUAAUACAUUUACAGGUGGUGCAUGGCUGUCGUCAGCUCGUGUCGUGAGAUGUUGGGUUUAGUCCCGCACCGAGCGCAACCCCUUUCGUUAGUUACCAUCAUUAAGUUGGGGACUCUAGCGAGACUGCCUGCGACGAGCAGGAGGAAGGUGGGGGGGGCGUCAAGUCAUCAUGCCCCUUAUGGACUGGGCUACACACGUGCUACAAUGGGAAGUACAAAGAGUCGCAAGCCAGCGAUGGUUAGCCAAUCUCAAAAAGCUUCUCUCAGUUCGGAUUGGAGUCUGCAACUCGACUCCAUGAAGUUGGAAUCACUAGUAAUCGCGAAUCAGCAAUGUCGCGGUGAAUACGUUCUCGGGUCUUGUACACACCGCCCGUCACACCACGAGAGUUGGUUGCACCUGAAGUAGCAGGCCUAACCCUUCGGGGAGGGAUGUUCCUAAGGUGUGAUUAGCGAUUGGGGUGAAGUCGUUUUAAAAGAACCG